rnacentral:piRNA from 1 species
UAGAUGAAGAAAUGAUUUCCCUAGCAGGAAC